rnacentral:lncRNA from 1 species
AUCAUAGAACAAAAGCCCCAAAUUUUCAGUGAAAAAGGUGUAAAGAUUUUCUACAUCACAUAUACUUCCAUUGCUCAUUACACAUGCAUAAAUCCCCAUGCAUCCUUAUGAUUGCAAUGCGAUGGUGAUGGAUCCACUUACAUAAACAACGAUGGUGUCCUCUCCACUUCUCUUCUCACAGCUCUCACCUGCCCAACAAUGGCUGCCUACCAACAGUCACUUCUUCAAACCUUACCUUAGCAAAAGAGAGAGAAAUGGCGGAAAAAUGAGUCUCGUGGGUUAGAGAAGAGGGUUAAGUACUCUUGAAGGUAGGGUAGCUGUCCUAGUGGCGCCAAAAGGCUUAAAAAUCUGGGCAAGUGGCUAAAGUCAGCAUGCACUCUCCAAGUGGCACUCCCACCUCAAGCAUGCCAGAAACACGGGCGGU